UACGGAAGGCAGCAGUGGGGAAUAUUGCACAAUGGGCGCAAGCCUGAUGCAGCCAUGCCGCGUGUAUGAAGAAGGCCUUCGGGUUGUAAAGUACUUUCAGCGGGGAGGAAGGCGAUGUGGUUAAUAACCGCGUCGAUUGACGUUACCCGCAGAAGAAGCACCGGCUAACUCCGUGCCAGCAGCCGCGGUAAUACGGAGGGUGCAAGCGUUAAUCGGAAUUACUGGGCGUAAAGCGCACGCAGGCGGUCUGUUAAGUCAGAUGUGAAAUCCCCGGGCUUAACCUGGGAACUGCAUUUUGAACUGGCAGGCUUGAGUCUCGUAGAGGGGGUAGAAUUCCAGGUGUAGCGGUGAAAUGCGUAGAGAUCUGGAGGAAUACCGGUGGCGAAGGCGGCCCCUGGGACGAAGACUGACGCUCAGGGUGCGAAAGCGUGGGGAGCGAAACAGGAUUAGAU
rnacentral:rRNA from 1 species